rnacentral:rRNA from 1 species
GACGAACGCUGGCGGCGUGCCUAAUACAUGCAAGUAGAACGCAGUUGCGCACGGGUGAGUAACGCGUAGGUAACUGCCUCGUAGCGGGGGAUAACUAUUGGAAACGAUAGCUAAUACCGCAUACUGUGAGAUGGACCUGCGUUGUAUUAGCUAGUUGGUGGGGUAAAGGCUCACCAAGGCGACGAUACAUAGCCGACCUGAGAGGAUGAUCGGCCAAACGGGAACUGAGAAAGGGUCCAGAGUCCUACGAGAGGCAGCAAUGGGGAAUAUUGGACAAUAGGCGCAAGCCUGAUAGAACCAAACCGAGUGUAUGAAGGAGGCCUUCGGGUUGUAAAGUACUUUCAGCGAGGAGGCGUUACUAGCAGAAGAAGCACAGGCUAACUCCGUGCCAGCCGCCGCGGUAAUUC